CUUUCUUACACCAAUCACAGUGACACAUCCUCACACAGUGCACAAAUACCUCAAGACGACAGAGCAAACAAGAACGUCCCUGCGUGCAGGUGAUGAAGCUGAGGCCUGGAAAGAUGAUAAGCCUGCCCAAGGUGAAAUAAUGAUCAGGACUUGAAUAUACCCGGGUUCCAAACCUUAUUCUGUCCCGCUCAGCAAUUUUACAGCUCCUGCCUGGUGUUAUUCAAGGAUUCUGCCGCUCCUCACAACACACCAGCUGCCAAGAUGGACCGGUGAGCAGUGCUUCUCCUUCCCAUGCACGUGACACAGACAGACCCUGCUCUCCCUCAAGUUCCAGAGGACACCAGGAUCCCCUGCCUUGUCACCAAUUCCAGAAGAAUGAGGUCUCACCCCGCAAGCUUUUCUCUUCCUGGUUCCCUCUUCUAAUUAACUACUCAGCUAAUUGUUACGAGAUCACCAUAGAGUUGGAGUCCAAGGAUCAUCAAGUAUACCCAGGUGCUCCAGAAAAUCCACCUGGACAGGUCAGCAAGCUCUGGAACCAGCUUGAAUCCACCUGGACAGCACCUUGUCAGGCGAUUUCCCAGGUAGCAGUUGACCCCAGGAUGCCUGUCUACCUCCGAAGCCUUCCUCCCUACCCCCCUAAGAGUCAACCAACGCCCACCAAGUCAGCUGGAAGCAGUGUUUCCAGGAGAAGCGAUGCCCCUAUUCCUGUUCACCUGCUUUUUAUAAUAAGCAGAGUCUGGAAUGUUAGGAUUCUGCUGUUCCUCCAGCUGCAUGACUGUACAUGCGCAGUUCAGUAGCUAAGCAAGGGGGUCUUACGUCAUCAGUGCACUGCACGAUCGUGCAAAUGUGUGCAGUGUGGUCACACAAUCAGGGCAUGUGUGGAGUAGCUCCAUGAGCCCACCUGCACAUGUGCAUGGGAAUCCUUAAAAAGCGGGACACAGACUCUUCUCUACUCUGCUCUCUCUCCCCCCCCCCUUCUCC